UAAACUGUGCCAAAAUACCCUGUCGAUACUUAUUAAUAUCGAUGGUUCAGCCCAGGAACAGCUGUGCUUGACCGGGACCAUUCACAAUGGACUCCCUGUCUAUUGAUAAUUUAUUUGCUGCUACGCAAAUAAAUAAAUAAAAGGCUCAACACUAGACAUGUAAGGGUGAGAUGAGGAUCCUCAGUAUGACGCUGCACCACGGCACGCAGUCACUGUAGAAGGCGCCGACUAAAAACUCAAAUCUUGCUCGGGCUAUGGCGAAUUGCUGCUCCUAUGCUCUGCUACGUAGGGCAACGAUGCUCCUUCCGCUUGGGACAGGACAUGGACCUACUACGCAACCAUACAUAAGAACUACCAAACAACUACAAA